AUUGAACGCUGGCGGCAUGCCUUACACAUGCAAGUCGAACGGCAGCACGGGUGCUUGCACCUGGUGGCGAGUGGCGAACGGGUGAGUAAUACAUCGGAACAUGUCCUGUAGUGGGGGAUAGCCCGGCGAAAGCCGGAUUAAUACCGCAUACGAUCUACGGAUGAAAGCGGGGGACCUUCGGGCCUCGCGCGAUAGGGUUGGCCGAUGGCUGAUUAGCUAGUUGGUGGGGUAAAGGCCUACCAAGGCGACGAUCAGUAGCUGGUCUGAGAGGACGACCAGCCACACUGGGACUGAGACACGGCCCAGACUCCUACGGGAGGCAGCAGUGGGGAAUUUUGGACAAUGGGCGAAAGCCUGAUCCAGCAAUGCCGCGUGUGUGAAGAAGGCCUUCGGGUUGUAAAGCACUUUUGUCCGGAAAGAAAUCCUUGGCUCUAAUACAGUCGGGGGAUGACGGUACCGGAAGAAUAAGCACCGGCUAACUACGUG
rnacentral:rRNA from 1 species